UCACAGGCCCCUCUCGGGGCCACCUUCUAGAUCCUUCUUUCUUUUCU
rfam:Ictidomys tridecemlineatus contig039432, whole genome shotgun sequence.